AUGAAGUACUUAACUUGGCAUAGGAUAUCAUCACCUCGAUCCACUCUAUUUCAAACCCUAAACUUCUCAUCUUCCACAAAGCUCAAAGUAGGCACAUCUUUGGAGUAUGUUGGGUUUUUUUGGUCGCAUCGUAUAUAUGUAUCAGAAUAUAUUGGCCGAUUUUCUGCCGAUUCAGACACUGUCGUUCUUGAUCAUCAGGUAGGAAGAGCUUUUGUUGCGGCAAACUGGAUUUCAUUCUAA